AAGAGUUUAUAAAACUCCCAAACCCAUGUGAACUUACCAUUGUUGCCUCGGCGGGACCUACCCUGUAGCGGACCGCCGGUGGAUUUUCAAACUCUUGUUAUUCUAAUGUCAUCUGAGCGUCUUAUUUUAAUAAGUUA
rnacentral:misc_RNA from 1 species